ensembl:lncRNA
GCUACAAGCAGAGCUGUCAUGUCUUAGGAGCUACAAGCAGAGCUGUCAUGUCUUAGGAGCUACAAGCAGAGCUGUCAUGUCUUAGGAGCUACAAGCAGAGCUGUCAUGUCUUGGGAGCUACAAGCAGAGCUGUCAUGUCUUGGGAGCUACAAGCAGAGCUGUCAUGUCUUAGGAGCUACAAGCAGAGCUGUCAUGUCUUAGGAGCUACAAGCAGAGCUGUCAUGUCUUAGGAGCUACAAGCAGAGCUGUCAUGUCUGUCAUGUCGUAGGAGCUACAAGCAGAGCUGUCAUGUCUGUCAUAGCUGCCAUGUCUUAGGAGCUACAAGCAGAGCUGUCAUGUCUGUCAUGUCUUAGGAGCUACAAGCAGAGCUGUCAUGUCUCUCAGCGCCAUCUUACAACAUCACUCUCUACAUGUGUGUUGGGGUGUGUGGACAUCUUCAUAGAGCCUCCGCAGAGUGUGUGUUUACUCUUCAUGGUUUCAUUCUGUC